rnacentral:rRNA from 1 species
GAUGAACGCUGGCGGCGUGCCUAAUACAUGCAAGUCGAGCGAACAGACGCGGAGCUUGCUCCUCUGACGUUAGCGGCGGACGGGUGAGUAACACGUGGAUAACCUACCUAUAAGACUGGGAUCACUUCGGGAAACCGGAGCUAAUACGGGAUAACAUGUUGAACCGCAUGGUUUAACAGUGAAAGACGGUCUUGAUGUCCAUUAUAGAUGGAUCCGCGCCGCAUUAGCUGGUUGGUAAGGUAACGGCUUACCAAGGCAACGAUGCGUAGCCGACCUGAGAGGGUGAUCGGCCACACUGGAACUGAGACACGGUCCAGACUCCUACGGGAGGCAGCAGUAGGGAAUCUUCCGCAAUGGGCGAAAGCCUGACGGAGCAACGCCGCGUGAGUGAAGAAGGUCUUCGGAUCGUAAAACUCUGUUAUUAGGGAAGAACAAAUGUGUAAGUAACUAUGCACGUCUUGACGGUACCUAAUCAGAAAGCCACGGCUAACUACGUG